rnacentral:hammerhead_ribozyme from 2 species
AGCCGAAACACCGGUUUAUCCGGUGUCUACCGUGAGUGGUGUCACGGUACCGAUGAUGGUAGCCACAC